rnacentral:rRNA from 1 species
CCUACGGGAGGCAGCAGUGAGGAAUAUUGGUCAAUGGACGAGAGCCUGAACCAGCCAAGUAGCGUGAAGGAUGACUGCCCUAUGGGUUGUAAACUUCUUUUAUAUGGGAAUAAAACAGGGUAUGCAUACCCUCUUGUAUGUACCAUAUGAAUAAGGAACGGCUAACUCCGUGCCAGCAGCCGCGGUAAUACGGAGGAUCCGAGCGUUAUCCGGAUUUAUUGGGUUUAAAGGGAGCGUAGGUGGAUUGUUAAGUCAGUUGUGAAAGUUUGCGGCUCAACCGUAAAAUUGCAGUUGAAACUGGCAGUCUUGAGUACAGCAGAGGUGGGCGGAAUUCGUGGUGUAGCGGUGAAAUGCUUAGAUAUCACGAAGAACCCCGAUUGCGAAGGCAGCUCACUGGACUGCAACUGACACUGAUGCUCGAAAGUGUGGGUAUCAAACAGGAUUAGAUACCCCAGUAGUC